GGGGAAUCUUCCGCAAUGGGCGAAAGCCUGAUGCAGCCAUGCCGCGUGUGUGAAGAAGGCCUUCGGGUUGUAAAGCACUUUCAGUGGCGAAGAAAAAGCCGGCGCCAAUACCGCCGGCCCUUGACGUUAACCACAGAAGAAGCACCGGCCAACUCCGUGCCAGCAGCCGCGGUAACACGGAGGGUGCGAACGUUAAUCGGAAUUACUGGGCGUAAAGCGCGCGUAGGCGGUUUGUUAAGUGGGAUGUGAAAGCCCCGGGCUCAACCUGGGAAUUGCAUUCCAAACUGGCAGACUAGAGUUCAGUAGAGGGAGGUGGAAUUUCCUGUGUAGCGGUGAAAUGCGUAGAUAUAGGAAGGAACACCAGUGGCGAAGGCGGCCUCCUGGACUGAAACUGACGCUCAUGUGCGAAAGCGUGGGGAGCAAACAGGAUUAGAUACCCGGGUAGUCCACGCCCUAAACGAUGGAUGCUAGGUAUGGGGGGUAUAGACCCCCUCCGUGCCGCAGCUAACGCAUUAAGCAUCCCGCCUGAGGAGUACGGCCGCAAGGCUAAAACUCAAAGGAAUUGACGGGGACCCGCACAAGCAGCGGAUCGUGUGGUUUAAUUCGAUGAUAAGCGAAGAACCUUACCUGGGCUUGACAUGCGUCUGACGGUUCGCGAAAGCGGGCUUUCCUUCGGGACAGGCGCACAGAUGUUGCAUGGCUGUCGUCAGCUCGUGCCGUGAGGUGUUGGGUUAAGUCCCGCAACGAGCGCAACCCUCGUCGUUAGUUACUAUGUCUAGCGAGACUGCUCCUAAAAGGGGAGAGGAAGGUGGGGACGACGUCAAGUCGGCACGGCUCUUACGCUCAGGGCUACACACACGCUACAAUGGACAGGACAACGGGCAGCCACGCCGCGAGGCGGAGCUAAUCCCUUAAACCUGCCCCCAGUUGGGAUUGCAGGCUGCAACUCGCCUGCAUGAACGCGGAGUUGCUAGUAACCGCAGAUCAGCCAUCCUGCGGUGAAUACGUUCCCGGGCCUUGUACACACCGCCCGU
rnacentral:rRNA from 1 species